GACGAACCGUGCGAACGUUGUUCGGAAUCACUGGGCUUAAAGGGCGCGUAGGCGGGCUGUCAAGUCUGGGGUGAAAUGCCGCGGCUCAACCGUGGAACUGCCUCAGAUACUGACGGCCUCGAGGGAGAUAGGGGCGAGCGGAACUGUGAGUGGAGCGGUGAAAUGCGUUGAUAUUCACAGGAACUCCGGUGGCGAAGGCGGCUCGCUGGAUCUUUUCUGACGCUGAGGCGCGAAAGCUAGGGGAGCAAACGGG
rnacentral:rRNA from 1 species